rnacentral:rRNA from 1 species
GAUGAACGCUGGCGGCGUGCCUAAUACAUGCAAGUCGAGCGAACAGAUGAGAAGCUUGCUUCUCUGAUGUUAGCGGCGGACGGGUGAGUAACACGUGGGUAACCUACCUAUAAGACUGGGAUAACUCCGGGAAACCGGGGCUAAUACCGGAUAAUAUAUUGAACCGCAUGGUUCAAUGUUGAAAGACGGUUUCGGCUGUCACUUAUAGAUGGACCCGCGCCGUAUUAGCUAGUUGGUAAGGUAACGGCUUACCAAGGCAACGAUACGUAGCCGACCUGAGAGGGUGAUCGGCCACACUGGAACUGAGACACGGUCCAGACUCCUACGGGAGGCAGCAGUAGGGAAUCUUCCGCAAUGGGCGAAAGCCUGACGGAGCAACGCCGCGUGAGUGAUGAAGGUCUUAGGAUCGUAAAACUCUGUUGUUAGGGAAGAACAAAUUUGUUAGUAACUGAACAAGUCUUGGCGGUACCUAACCAGAAAGCCACGGCUAACUACGUGCCAGCAGCCGCAGUAA